rnacentral:lncRNA from 1 species
CCAGCAACAACCAUCCAAUGAUCCAAUGAUCCUUUAUAUAGAGAGACGAAGCAGCAGGGUGACAAUACAAAGAGAAAUAGAGUGGUGUGUGCAAUAUCCUUCAUUCUACCAUGGCUUCGAGGUGUCACGUGAAAAUGUUUCUUCUGCUGCUUAUACUGGAGAUCGUUCUGCUCAUUACCAUGCCUUCCGGAGGCCUGGCGGGUCCGAGUGCGACACAGAGAAACAGUAAGUACUCUGGCAUUUCAUUCUUGCAGAUCCAACCACAGAUUUAUUACAAAAUACCUCGUACUCCCUCUGUAAAUCAUAGGUAACAAAAAAUUAAAAAGGGUUUGACAAUUGAUAUAUCAAGAAAAUGAAUACAAGUUCAAGUUACUAUUGCAUCAUGUUCGCUUUCUCAUGUAUUAUUCAAACGUUAGUAAUAUUGAUUGGAGGAUUAAACGGCCUGAAAGCUUGUGGCUCCAAACGAAGAUGAUUCUCGACAAAAUUCUCCCCCACUUUUGGUAAACCCACAAAACAAUAUGUAAAAUAUAUGUAAAAUAUAUGGCUAGUCAGACGGAAAAUUGGCAGUGAAAUAAUUAAAGACUAAUUAUAGCUUCCCGUCAUUGUGUAGUUUGUUUUCGAAAUGCUUGCUCUAGUUGAAGCAGUAGUUAGAAAUUCAGUUCAUAAUGGUGAUAGUACGGUGUUAUGUACAAUAUGUUUCCAGAAUUGUCAAUGGAAAAUUUGCAUCUCAUAAUUUGCUCUUGCAGACAGUGACAACCCCAACUGCCCCGCUUGCUACAGACCUCCUUGUCAUUGUUGAAAGUAUAUGGGGUUUUGCCCCAUUUAAUUUGUCAUUCCUCAAAAGUCACAUACAGAGUGAAGGAGAAAUGAGACCAACAUAUAAGGGACUCUCUCACACAUGCACUCCUCAUUAGGGCAUGAUAAGAGUAGUACAGGCGCGCGUUCUCCGCGGCCACAUCGCACCGCUCACCUACAUCUUCGAUUCCUGGCGACUUAUUCAAACCUGUAAUAAGAAUGCUCCUCGGUGUGAUAGCAAUUUUGUUAGCCAUCCAGGAGCAUGUGCUUCAUCGGUUUCCAAUUUGCAUCCUUUAUGUCAUUGUUAUGGUUUUUGUGCUGUGUAAAGAUUACUUGCCUGGCAAUUUUAUACGAUUAUCUCACAUGUGUGACCGGGCUCCUUGUAUAAAUUGGAAAUGUAAAAGAGGCUCCAAUUACCACACAAUCAGUGUGGUAAUCAAUCCUAGACCAAUGAUACCAACAAUG